AGUGAACGCUGGCGGCGUGCCUAAUACAUGCAAGUCGAACGGAGUGGCGCACGGGUGAGUAAUGUAUAUCUAAUCUGCCCUACACUAGAGGACAACAGAUGGAAACGACUGCUAAUACUCUAUAGUGUAUGAUGUGGCUAUAUUGUAUCAGCUAGUUGGUGAGGUAAAGGCUCACCAAGGCUAUGACGCAUAACUGGUCUGAGAAGAUGAUCAGUCAAACUGGAACUGAGACACGGUCCAGACUCCUACGGGAGGCAGCAGUAGGGAAUAUUGCUCAAUGGGGGAAACCGUGAAGCAGCAUCGCCGCGUGGAGGAUGACACGUUGCGGAGCGUAAACUCCUUUUGUUAGGGAAGCGUUACCUAAAGAAGAAGCACCGGCUAACUCCGUGCCAGCAGCCGCGGUAAUAC
rnacentral:rRNA from 1 species